rnacentral:rRNA from 1 species
UACAGAGGGUGCAAGCGUUGUUCGGAAUUAUUGGGCGUAAAGGGCGCGUAGGCGGUGCGGUAAGUCUGUAGUGAAAUCUCUGGGCUCAACUCAGAGUCUGCUAUAGAAACUGCCGUGCUUGAGUGUGGGAGAGGUGAGUGGAAUUCCCGGUGUAGCGGUGAAAUGCGUAGAUAUCGGAAGGAACACCUGUGGCGAAAGCGGCUCACUGGACCAUUACUGACGCUGAUGCACGAAAGCUAGGGGAGCAAACAGG